GGGGGGUUCUUCUAUUUCGGGAAGAGGUAUGCUAUCUUUAUAAAUGAAUACAUAUUGUUCAGUUGGUGCCACUUUAAAAAUAGCGAUAUACUUGUUACAACAAAGUUAAGUUGACUGCAUUGGCUCAGAGUAAUAAAAGUAUACAAGUGUUUCUUUAAUAUACAUGUAGGCUAUUGGCUUUUUUAAAAAUAUUUUACCGGAAGAGCUACAACGACAUUGAUCGUUCCAAAAAGUGGGUCCCAAUCCCCAGGACCAUUCCCCUGGAUACGCCACUGGAGGAGGUAUGUUGUCAAAAAUAAUUGUAGUAAAUAUUAACGUUUUC
rnacentral:lncRNA from 1 species